UUCCAACUACCAAUCGGAGCACGUUUUCCCAAUACGACCUCAAAAUCUCAAUUAAUACAAUACCGAAAUUUCCACAACAAAUUCUUCACCAAAAAAUGAACCAAACGACGUCCAAUUGACCUCAAAUUUUGCAAGCAAGCCAACAAUAAUAUAACAGAGCAUUUGAAGCUUAUGAAACGCAAAAUGAAGCACUAAUUCUUAAAACAAUUAAGCGGGUCGUUACACAUAUACUGGUAAAACCCCUAGUUUCUUCUCUGAUGAUAGUAUUAUAUUGCAAUCAUGUCCAACGACCCAAGGUAAUUGAAUCUGCAAUCUAAGUUAAUCAGCUUCAUAGUUGUAUUCUAUCUCCAACAUCACACUUAACAUAUUUUACUGUAACUAGGAUCUCCUUCUGUAAAUUUGUAUGAAACACCUGUAAUGUCAACUGUUGGUGUGUAUCCAUAACUACAUUACUCUGCAUUCCUCUGUGUAGAACAUCCAUAUUUUUCGUGACGAAUUAGCCAUAGUCUUUUGAUGCCCCAAUAUUCUUCUGUAUAACUCAAUGUUGUCACCUUCUUGAAAUGGUUUCAUAAGAGCUAUUACUGAAUAGUGAUUUCUCCCGUCAAGAUCAAACAAUCUUUCAAAAGCAUUUUGAGUAUUGACUGAUUUUAUGUUCUAGAAUAAUGACUUCAAUCAUUGAGAAACAUUGUUUUUAGAUUUAUUAUACCUUGUUGUUACUCCCAAAGGAGGAACACUUGUAUACCUUGAUACUUUAUGUUUUUUUCCUGUCUGCUAGGUAUGAUCAUAUUUUCUAGGAGAUAGAUCACCUUGCUUCAUAUUAACCUCCAAAGCCUCUUCUUUAUGUUCCUUAUCUAUUGUUCGUAUAUGUCUCUCCUGAAUAGGAUCACUACCUUCAUUGGAUAUUGUAUUAGAUUCUGAAAACUCCAUUAUUGAUUGUGAUAUGUCUUUUAGCACAUCUGUUGUGGAACCAGUCUCCUAAUUGUCCUCUUGUCACUGUGUAUGCCUGGAUCCAGAUUGCUUUUAUCCUUUUCCACUUCAACUUCUUGGUGUUAUGCUGUCAAUAUUAUCUUUUUAUGUGUCGUCUACUGCCUCUACCUCUUGACUACUACUCCGUCCGUCCUAAUUUGUUUAAAGGUUGACCAGUUUGGGGAGUCAAACAACUCUUUCUUUGACUACGAUUUUCUCCAACUCUUUUCAAAUAUUGUGAAUUACUAAAUAUGUAGACUUACAGUACUUUUUAUGUAGUUUUCAAAUAUGUAAUUUUAUUAUAAAAUACUCGAAGAAUCUAUGUUUAAAAUUAAGUCAAAGAAAAGUUGUUCGACUCUCCAAACUGGUCAACCUUAAAAUAAAUUGGGAUGGAGGGAGUAAAUAUCAAUAAACUCACCCUGAUUCGUAUCCUCCUCGUGUUGAUGCAUAAUCUCCUUUGGAUCACUGAUUUGUUGCUGAGUUUUGCCAAAAGAGGCGCCAACCCAAGCCUUAGCUGACUCCCUCUCAUCAGGCACCUUUGUUAUUUCUUUGUUGUGUGAUUCAGGAUGCAAGAUAUGGCAAUCAACCUCAGUAUGGCCUUGCAGUUUGCAAUUUUGACAGUAACUUGGUCGGUCUAGUUUGAUUCUUUGUAGCCAUAUCAACCUAGGGGCUCACCAACAACAGUUGCAAGAGAGAAUAUGGAUUCUUUGACAAAAUAAUUUGGCGGCAAAUAUGAAAAGGAAAUCCAUGCAAUUGCGUAGAUGUUGUUUCUUUAUCAAGAUCAAACAAAGGAUUCAACUUUAAUGACGUAUCUGAUACAACCAUUCUUUCAUUAUGAUAUAGAAAGCUGGCUUGGACAAUAACCUCACAUAAUCUUCUAGCAACGUGAGCCUUAUUAAGACAUAUCUAUUACGUAUCAACCCUAUGUUGCAUUCACCUUUGAGCUCGCAUUGUGUACGUAAGAAUUUAUGUAAAUCUUUGACGUCUUACCAUCCAUAAGAGAACUUUAGAACAACGGCAUACUGGCCACCCUUGAAAGAGUGCGUAAUAGCUCACUGAUCGAGCGCUUUUGCACCGAAGAUGAACAGGGCUAAGCGAUCUGCCGAAGCUGUGGGAUGUCAAAAUACAUCGGCAGGGAUAUUUGAAUUGGACCUAGUCAGCCCGAACCAUUUUGCGAUUCUAGAGGACCCUGAACAAGAAGAGGCAAAGAUGCCAGAUCUGGACACUGCUGAACCGGAAGAGAUUGCUUAGGAUGAGUGUUUGGGUAACAAGUAUUCCCUGUUGAUCACUGCCUGUGAGAAAAAUAUCAUCGGUUCGGGCGGUAAGGCCCUUGGUAAGCUCGGGUUAGCCUGUCAGGGUGAAUGCAGGUAAUGUGAUCUCUUCUUCCUCCCAUACGACCAUUAGCUCACCACGUAAGUACAUUAAUGGUUUAAGAGGUAACAGUUUGAAUAUACAUGCAUAACUAGUCGAUGAAGUUGGUAUUGCUAGAGGUUGUCCACUGGCCAUAGUGUCCCUGGACAAUGAUCUCUGUUAGGGUUUUAGUGUGCGCAGAAACUAUGAUUUAGCGAGAAUUUCUUAUACCACUUUUUCUGGGCAA